AUUGAACGCUGGCGGCAGGCCUAACACAUGCAAGUCGAACGGUAACAGGAAGCAGCUUGCUGCUUUGCUGACGAGUGGCGGACGGGUGAGUAAUGUCUGGGAAACUUCCUGAUGGAGGGGGAUAACUACUGGAAACGGUAGCUAAUACCGCAUAACGUCGCAAGACCAAAGAGGGGGACCUUCGGGCCUCUUGCCAUCGGAUGUGCCCAGAUGGGAUUAGCUAGUAGGUGGGGUAACGGCUCACCUAGGCGACGAUCCCUAGCUGGUCUGAGAGGAUGACCAGCCACACUGGAACUGAGACACGGUCCAGACUCCUACGGGAGGCAGCAGUGGGGAAUAUUGCACAAUGGGCGAAAGCCUGAUGCAGCCAUGCCGCGUGUAUGAAGAAGGCCUUCGGGUUGUAAAGUACUUUCAGCGGGGAGGAAGGGAGUAAAGUUAAUACCUUUGCUCAUUGACGUUACCCGCAGAAGAAGCACCGGCUAACUCCGUG
rnacentral:rRNA from 1 species